GAGACGUUGCCCUUCGGGGUAUACCUCCCACCCAUUGUUUAUAUACUUUGUUGCUUUGGCAGGCCCGGCUUCGGCCCACCGGCUCCGGCUGGUCAGUGUCUGCCAGAGGAUACCAAAACUCUGUUUGUUAAUAUUGUCUGAGUACUAUAUAAUAGUUAAAACUUUCAACAACGGAUCUCUUGGUUCU
rnacentral:misc_RNA from 1 species